rnacentral:lncRNA from 1 species
AGUACAAACCUGAGUCAGUGAUCUAAAAUUCUAAAUAAAAUUCCCCAAAAAGUACACAAGGUGAAAAUAGAGAAGAAAAAAGAGAAUGGCUAGAGAUAGCGUACUCGCUCGCGUCGCAACCGGAGCUGCUGUAGGCGGUGCUAUCGGCGGCGCCGUUGGUGAGAUUAUAUUACAUGUUUCUAUCUACUCCUGCUCCGCACUUUAUGAGUUAUGGUAUAAAUUUGAUAAUCGGUUGCAUGCAGGUGCAGUUUAUGGAACAUAUGAUGCAAUUAGGUAUAAGGUAUGGGUUAUGAGUUCCUUUCCUAUUUUUAUUUCCCCGGGAGAUUAGUCUAAUUUCUAGAGGAUGAGGAAAACCAUAGGCGAAAUGAUCGGGAAAGACUCAGAGAUCGAUAAAUGCUUAGUCGAUGAACAUGAUUUAUGAUAGAGUAUUAUUGCGUCGUUUAAUUUUUAUAGCCGACCCCAACUAGUGGGACAAAGGCUUGACUGUUGUUAUUUCUAUUACAUUUUGGGCCAUAUCUUACUUGAUUAUUGAAUGACUGAAUUGAUAAUAUAAUUGAAAUUUAUUUUAAUUUGACUGUGGUGCUUCGGCAACAGAAAGCUGUUGAUUUCAACCCUGAAGGAUUGAAGGAAUCAUAAUUCAAAGGUACUCCAUCUGUCAGGAAUCAGGAUACUCUCCUGAUAAACCUAGGCACUGACUGUAAACCUUUCGUCGACUUUUGGUGAUGUUGAAAUUAUUCACACCACAUGAAUGCCUAAGUUUAUCAAGGGAGUACUGUGCCAAAGGGAAUACCUUUAGUUACCAGUUCCUUCAAUCCUAUUGGUUCUACAUCAGUUAUGUUAAUGGCAUAAGAUCUUUUCCUUGUUAAAAUUUAAAACUCUCCAUCAAGUUGCAAUGAUAUUGAAGAACCAAAGUAAGGUAAUUAUGUCUUGUAUGAGGGGAAUCAUAUUGGUGUGUAUUUUGACUUCAAAAACCAUAUCACUGAGAAAUCAAAUGUGUUUUCACUUGAGGCCCAACAUAAUUAGCAGGUAGUUGGUUCUUUGAGCACGAGGUUCGAUCCUUGACUGUGUAUAGAGAAAAGGUUUUGUUGGGAGGGACUUUAUCCACUUUGGUGAUCUCUCUGCCUUAAAAGUGAUUAAUCUAGUUGUCGGUUGGGGGACACCUUUGAUGCAUAUUAAAAAAUAAUAAAGAAUUCUAAUUGCAAUUGGUGCUUGGUAAAGCAUAAUAUGGAUUCUUUUUUUAAUCUGUCUUUAGUCUUAUAAGUUCAAGAGGUGCCAAUUAGGCAAUAUUAAACUGCCACAAAUAAAAGGGGAGAGUGAAUGCAUGAGGCUCCCACCAUUUUGGUGUCUGUGGAGGAUCACUAGGUCUAGGUGAUAAGGCUGCAACCGUUAGAGGCAGAGCCUCUAUUGGAAGCCCCAAAAAUAGUUCUCAGUCUUUCUUGCUCUACUACUAAACUUACAUCACACGUUUUUACACCUUAAGCUUGAAGAUUGUCACUGCAACUAGGACCUUAGGUAACUUAAUGGUGGAUGGAGUACAAAGAAAACUUCAUCAAGCUCCCGCCCACCCGAACAUUUGGGUGAUGUCACACUACUGGCAACCCUGCCUUUGCAGGCAGGUUCAGUGUAUAACUAAAGUCGUAAAUUUAAUUUACACCGAAUAGAUAGUAAUCAUUAACUUGUUCAUGAGGAAAUUUAUUAUUAUUUAUUCUCUUAAUUAACAAGAAUGAAUUCACCAUUAAGACAAGUGCAGGGUAAAUAUCCCUCAUAUUUAAAUAUAAGGAAAAACAUAUUUCUUCACUAUAAUAGGGUGGAGAAAAUACGAAGCCCGAAAUUUAGCCUGAUGGAUAAUUUGUUGAUCUGUGCUGAUCGUAGUCUCUUAAUGAAGGAUGAGAAUCAUUAUACUUCACCACUUGCCAUAUGGUCUGAGCCUCUGAGGGCUGUUUCUAUGGCUCUGAAUAUGUUGAAUCAUCAAAGAAACUCUAGGCCUGGGGCAAUACAAGAAUAUAUGUAGGAGAACAAUUUUUGGCCUUUUCAACUAGGUUAUUUUAAGUGUCUGAUUACGUGAGCUGUUCUGAUUAGAAUUUAAUUAGUUGGGAACUUUGACCCGAGAAGAAAAGGAGGAGAAAGAGGAAGAAAUGAAAAUUUGGCUUCAAAUUCUUAUGUCAAAUCUUCGUCGCUGGGUAUUCUUGUAGAACAAAAACUCAUUGAUUCUUUGAUUGCUGAAUAUGUCACUAAAAUUGGACUGAAAAACUUUGCUACUGAAACAUCCAUAACUCAGGGCCCAGUUAAGUAAAGCUACCAUUAAUGAACAUGAAAAUAGCCUAGAUAUCUGAAGCAAACUAAGGCUAUGUUUGAAUUGAUGGAAAGUGGUGAAACUGAAUGGAAUUAUGUUCUAUUGUUUGGAUUGUUUCAUCCUAUUCCAUUCGAUUUCCCUCUUUUGUUUCCUCCCAAUUUGGGGAUCAUGGGAUGGAACCAAACAAUAGUGGUAACUACAUCCGGUUCCCUGCCAUUUUCUCCCAUUCCAUUCCACAUAUCUUUAGAUAUCCAAACAUUGGGAAAGCUCCACAAACAAAACUGAAUCUUAUACAUAUGGAUGACUAGUUAUCCAAGUUUGAAGUUUGAUUAUAAAUGACUAAAAUAACAUUAGGAUUGUAAAUUUACUAUAAGUAAUAACUUAAAUAGCCUGAAUAUCCUAAACAAUCAUCAUCUAUAUAAUAUUAAAAUUAUAUCCAUUAUCGAAUUGAAUAUACUUAUUGAGGCUUGGAAGAUUAUAGGAGAGCAAUGCAUUAGUUGGCUCACAAAGUUGUUCAAUGAGAACAUGAGGUCUAAGAAGAUAUCAGACAGGUGGAGGAAAAACAUUUUAAUCUCUAUUUAUAGGAACAAGGUCAACAUAUAAAAUUUUGCAAACAAAAGUGGGAUUAGCUCAUGUGUCAUACUAUGAAGCUACGAGGGAGGAUAAUUAAGUGGAGGUCAAGACAAGAGAUGCGUAUCAUUGAAAAUCAAUCUAGUUUUAUGCCGGGGAGGUCGACCAAGGAGGCUAUGUACUUGGUACGAUGAUUGAUGGAGAGAUACCGAAGGAACCAAAGAGACUUGCACAUGGUAUUCAUUAAUUUGGAGAAGACGUAUGAUAAGGUGCCUAAAGAGGUUUUGUGGAAAACUUUAGAGAAGAAAGGUGUUUGAAUUCCUUAUAUUCGAACAGUCAGGGGCAUGUAUGACGCGGUCAAGACCAGCGUGAGAACUAGGGUUAUCAAAAGCGUGUUUGAAGCGUCAAAUCGCACGAUUCAACACUUUUCAUAGCGAAAUUUUUACCCUACGAGUUUGUUUUUCUAGGCCGAACCUAUAGGCCAAAAUUUUACCCUAAUUUUUAACCCACAAUUUUUGUAAUGCUAUUAUUGUUCCUUCAGAUUUUUCACCUUCGCUCCACCCUCAAUUCUAUGAAUCAACCACUCUCUUUCGUAACCUUUGCAACCUUCCAAUCUCCUCCUUAAGCUUCUUCUUGUUUCUGAACCAAAAACUUGCAACCACUUCCCUUAGUCUGCGACUUUCUCUUCUCCAUAUUCGCUCUUUGUUUGCUCUUUUUCUCUUCUCUUUUCUUUGUAUUUUAGUUAUUGUGUAUACAUAUAUAUAAUUUUGUAUUUUAGUUGGCGCUACGCUUCAUGUUAUGGUCCACCGCUCUGAUGAUCCCACACCCCCUUCCGCUCCAAGGUUGACUACCCUACACUUUAACAACCAUAGAGAACACAAAAUGGGGUCUCAGAAGAUUUUCCCAUGCCGUGAGACUACACCAAGGGUCAAUAUUGAGCCCUAUUUGUUUACGUUAGUCUUUGGAUGUGCUUACUGAGCAUAUUCAAGAACCUAUGCCACAAUACAUGCUUUGUACGGAUGAUAUUGUCCUAGUGGGAGACUCAAGAUAUGAAUUAAAUGAGAAGUUAGAAAUGUAGAGACAAGAUUUAGAAUUACAUGACUUUCGCAUAGGUCUAAGUCAGACGAAGUAUAUGGAGUUUAAGUUUAGCAAGAGGUGGACAAACCUUACUGUAGAGGUAAUGAUUCAGAAUCAUACUAGACCACAAGUCUCUAGAUUUAGGUAUCUUGGGUCAAUCAUACAAAACGAUGAGAAAUUGACAGAGAUGUAAACCAUAGGACUCAAGCGGGUUGAUGAAAAAGCGGAGUGGUUCAGGUUUCAUAUGUUGUAAAAAAAUAUAACUCAAGCUUAAGGGAAGUUUUAUUGCACGACUAUAAGACUUGCAAUGUUAUAUGAGACUAAUGUUGGAAGGUAAAAUGUCAAUAGAGAAUAAACUCCAUCUAGCGUAAAUAAUAAUUUUGUGUUGGAUGAGUGAACACAUUAGACAAGAUAGAAAUUAGAAAUGCAUUAGGGAGAAACUUGAAGUAUUUUCUAUUGUAGAAAAGAUGACAUAAUCGCGCCUUAGGUGGUUUGGAGUUUGGACAUGUAUGGACGAGACUGUUAGAAGCCAAAGUAAGGAGAGUAGAUCAAAUGGAUGUUAGUUCAAUUCAUAGAGGAAGAGAGGCCAAGAAAAACCAUUGUCGAAACUAUUAGGGAAGAAGAUUAGAGAUGAAUGCUUUGUCAAUAAACUUCAUCUAUGAAAGAGCAUUAUGACAUUAUGCAAUCCAUGUAGUCAACUCCACCUCGUGGGAUUAAGGCUUCAUUGUUGUAUAUCCAUUAUCAAAUUAAAAUAAUGGAAUCUUUAGCAUCUAGCCAUUGGCAUCAUUUUGGAGUUAUGCCUGAAAUUCUGAAAUUCUGCAACCCAGUUCACUUAAUGCUGGUUUGUUGGAUGGAGCACUCUCCAUGCCUUGCAUUAAUUUUAGGAGAUUUGAAUAUGAGAUGAAAUCAGAACGGUGGACUUUUCAAAUGAGGUAUAGACCAAAAUCAUAAUACAUAAGCUGGGAGAGUAUCAGGUCACCCAAUGCACGAGGCUCCCACCUAGUGGGGCGCGGAGGGUAUGUACACAACCUUACCCUUGCAAGCGAGAAGGUUGUUUCCCGAAAAACAUGAAAUCAAGAAUCUUUUACAAACCACUGUCUAGAACAAUUUAAGGCUCUUUUAUAAUUUGUUGCCCAAAUUAUUGAGUUUGUUGUUCCUACAUGUUAAAUCUUCUUACAGGGAAAACAUUGUGCUUUUAUCACUUUCAUAUUUUAGCCAUGCUCAAAGUGUUCUGUUUCUGUACAAUUGUGUUAGACUUGGGAUGUUAGUUGCAGUGCCAUAGUGUAGUUUGCUGUAUGUCAUAUUAACAUCCUCAAGGUCUGCUUAGACAUAGAUAUAUGUUAAUAUAAGAUAGAUUAUAAUUUUCAUGUCUCUAGAUGAUGUCAAUAGCUUGUCAAACUCUGUCCCACUUCUUGUCUGACUCUCAUUAGUGAUCUAAGAACACCUUAUUUAGUCAUGAAAAUAGAUCUUAGUGCUAAGAAGCAAGGGCUAUAACACCAAUAUAGAAGAUAAACCAGAGAAGACAUUGUAGCACAAUCAAGCAGCAAAAAUACAAUGCUUGUGAUGGCUGAUUGGUUUGUUAAAAAUACUCCCAUUUUUCCAUUUAUGCCUGUGUGUUUGUCACAACUAUGAGUCUGUGACACAUAAAUUAGUAAUGAAGUUUUCUAAUACGUUAAAUUACCUUUACUGGCAAUUGUGAAUAGGUGAUCAGCUUUAGUCCAUUUAACUCUCUGAUUGACAUACUUCUAUAAAAAACGAAAAAAAUAUUCUGAAAUCUGAAUAUCUGAUUCAUGUACAUUAUAAGAUGUAUUCAGUAUAAACAAAUUAUUUACUAUUGCCAUUUCCAAUAUGGAACAAAAAACAGGGAUAUCUUACUCAUUUCUAAGUCAUAGUUAGUUGAGUAUGAUUUAUUCAUUCAACAUAUGAUAUACAAUUAAAAUAUCGGAAAAUUUGUGACAAUAUAAAAUUUUGAAUGUUUGUACUAGUUUUCAUAUUUGAACCCUAUUCUGGGCACAUCAUAUACAUGUUGAUAUCAUCUAUUAUGUUUGUACGUAUGUCUAGCUGGGGGUACAAGUACUCAAUUAUUUAUCUCGUUAUCUAGAGAGAAUGCAAUGACAUUUCUUCUCUAUGUAGAUUCUUAGGCAAAGUUUGGUAGAUAUGUCAAAACAGACAAAAAUAAAUUUUUUGUUCUGUGAUGUAUUAUAUAUAAACAGAACAAGACAAGAGACUCAAAAGUAGAAAAUCUAUUUUGGUUUCACUGAAUCGGGUGGAAGUGUGGAACCAAUGAGAACAAAACAUAACAUCUUAAACUGUCAUGUAAUCAUGUUCUAUCUUUUUCUAUCCAUGCACCAACUCCUACCUUAAUCUUAUACAUUGCUGAAAAACGUAGCUUCCUUUUAUGGUACUCAGCAUUGAUCUCGAAAAAUUUCAGGUUCCCGGAUUCCUGAAGAUAAGGCAUAUUGGCCAAACCACUCUUGGAAGUGCAGCUGUAUUUAGCUUGUUCCUUGCUGCAGGAACCUUGAUACGUUCUCACUAGUUUGUCUCAUUAGAUGCUGCAGUCAUGUUCAUGAUUUUCCUUGAAUUUUAACUAUCAAAGUCUUGUUGCUUCCUUUACCUGGCAGGGUGUAAUCUAAUAAUCCUUCUGGCGUCCAAUCCAAACUAUCUACAUUGUUUUGCUGAUUUUUUUUGGGUAUGGAACGAUUAUGAUGAGACUUAAACGUAAGUGAUGCAUGAUAGCUUAUUUAUUCUCUUGAUACUCAUAUGGGGUAUUUAAAUCUCACAUUUGACCUCAACCCUCAAUUAAUAUUUUUAAUUAUGUAUAAUAUUUUUGGAUUAUGAUUAUACAAAUGUAUUAUUAGGAAAUAUGUAGAAAGGUAUGAGCUUAAACAUUUGGAGUACAGGAAAAUAUGAGUGACAUUUCCUAGUUUUUUGCUGUCUAUGUCAAUGAAUUGAGAUUAAU